rnacentral:tRNA from 1 species
UAGAUAGAAGCCCGUUGGUUUAGGCGCCUGGCUGUUAACCAGGAGCUUAUGGGAUCGAAGCCCAUCUGUCUAG